rnacentral:rRNA from 1 species
UACGGGGGGGGCGAGCGUUGUCCGGAAUCAUUGGGCGGAAAGAGCGGGUAGGCGGUCCGGUAAGUCCGCUGUGAAAGUCGGGGGCUCAACCCUCGAAUGCCGGUGGAUACUGUCGGGCUAGAGUGCGGAAGAGGCGAGUGGAAUUCCUGGUGUAGCGGUGAAAUGCGCAGAUAUCAGGAGGAACACCUAUUGCGAAGGCAGCUCGCUGGGACGUUACUGACGCUGAGACGCGAAAGCGUGGGGAGCAAACAGG